GUAAAAUUUAUGUAAAAGAACACAUUAUUUUCUCUCCAUAUAUCUUCCCAACAGAAUAAGAUCUAUUGGUACAUUGCCUUUUGAUAUUUUCGAUUUGCUCUUCUGAUUGCUUUUCCUCUUAUUAAUGGCGAAGCUGGAAUCAAUGGAAUACACAUCACAGAAGAAGGCAAAUAGGAACCAUGGAUCCACCAAAUUAUUUGUGAUUUUAGAUUAUCUUUACCUCUUCAUAUUCUUCUGUUUCCUUUGCUUCUUCCUCGUCAAAAUGGUCGGAAUUUAAUCCAGCCCAGGUGAUAGUAAGCUCGUCUCGAGAUCAGAAGUUGUAAGUUUGAGAACUUUAAUUGUUUGACUCCAAUUUAUAGUUUAUUUUCUUCACAUUUUGGGCCAGUGAGAUUUGGAGAGGAACAAAGUUAUCGCACUGGUGAUGUUUCAAAUUCGUCGGUGUGCAAGACAAAUGACAUAAAAAUUCUUCAUACAUAGAUAUUUCAGUAGAUUUCUUGGUGUACUUGACUACUCAUUUACUGUAAUAUGGCUCCAAAAUUUUGAAAUUUUAAGUCACAAUUGCUAGUAUCACCUCCACUAUUGUGAAACUUAAAAUCCUGUGAAUUCAACAUCUUGUUUGA